UUAAGCGACUAAGCGUACACGGUGGAUGCCCUGGCAGUCAGAGGCGAUGAAGGACGUGCUAAUCUGCGAAAAGCGUCGGUAAGGUGAUAUGAACCGUUAUAACCGGCGAUGUCCGAAUGGGGAAACCCAGUGCAAUUCGUUGCACUAUCGUUAACUGAAUACAUAGGUUAACGAGGCGAACCGGGGGAACUGAAACAUCUAAGUACCCCGAGGAAAAGAAAUCAACCGAGAUUCCCCCAGUAGCGGCGAGCGAACGGGGAGCAGCCCAGAGUCUGAAUCAGCUUGUGUGUUAGUGGAACGGUCUGGAAAGUCCGACGGUACAGGGUGAUAGUCCCGUACACCAAAAUGCACAGGUUGUGAACUCGAAGAGUAGGGCGGGACACGUGGUAUCCUGUCUGAAUAUGGGGGGACCAUCCUCCAAGGCUAAAUACUCCUGACUGACCGAUAGUGAACCAGUACCGUGAGGGAAAGGCGAAAAGAACCCCGGCGAGGGGAGUGAAAAAGAACCUGAAACCGUGUACGUACAAGCAGUGGGAGCACCUUCGGGUGUGACUGCGUACCUUUUGUAUAAUGGGUCAGCGACUUAUAUUCUGUAGCAAGGUUAACCGUAUAGGGGAGCCGCAGGGAAACCGAGUCUUAACUGGGCGUUAAGUUGCAGGGUAUAGACCCGAAACCCGGUGAUCUAGCCAUGGGCAGGUUGAAGGUUGGGUAACACUAACUGGAGGACCGAACCGACUAAUGUUGAAAAAUUAGCGGAUGACUUGUGGCUGGGGGUGAAAGGCCAAUCAAACCGGGAGAUAGCUGGUUCUCCCCGAAAGCUAUUUAGGUAGCGCCUCGUGAACUCAUCUUCGGGGGUAGAGCACUGUUUCGGCUAGGGGGUCAUCCCGACUUACCAACCCGAUGCAAACUACGAAUACCGAAGAAUGUUAUCACGGGAGACACACGGCGGGUGCUAACGUCCGUCGUGAAGAGGGAAACAACCCAGACCGCCAGCUAAGGUCCCAAAGUCAUGGUUAAGUGGGAAACGAUGUGGGAAGGCACAGACAGCCAGGAUGUUGGCUUAGAAGCAGCCAUCAUUUAAAGAAAGCGUAAUAGCUCACUGGUCGAGUCGGCCUGCGCGGAAGAUGUAACGGGGCUAAACCAUGCACCGAAGCUGCGGCAGCGACACUAUGUGUUGUUGGGUAGGGGAGCGUUCUGUAAGCCUGCGAAGGUGUGCUGUGAGGCAUGCUGGAGGUAUCAGAAGUGCGAAUGCUGACAUAAGUAACGAUAAAGCGGGUGAAAAGCCCGCUCGCCGGAAGACCAAGGGUUCCUGUCCAACGUUAAUCGGGGCAGGGUGAGUCGACCCCUAAGGCGAGGCCGAAAGGCGUAGUCGAUGGGAAACAGGUUAAUAUUCCUGUACUUGGUGUUACUGCGAAGGGGGGACGGAGAAGGCUAUGUUAGCCGGGCGACGGUUGUCCCGGUUUAAGCAUGUAGGCUGAUUAUCCAGGCAAAUCCGGAUAAUCAAGGCUGAGGUGUGAUGACGAGGCACUACGGUGCUGAAGUAACAAAUGCCCUGCUUCCAGGAAAAGCCUCUAAGCAUCAGGUAACAUUAAAUCGUACCCCAAACCGACACAGGUGGUCAGGUAGAGAAUACCAAGGCGCUUGAGAGAACUCGGGUGAAGGAACUAGGCAAAAUGGUGCCGUAACUUCGGGAGAAGGCACGCUGGUGUGUAGGUGAAGCCCCUGCGGGUGGAGCUGAGACCAGUCGAAGAUACCAGCUGGCUGCAACUGUUUAUUAAAAACACAGCACUGUGCAAACACGAAAGUGGACGUAUACGGUGUGACGCCUGCCCGGUGCCGGAAGGUUAAUUGAUGGGGUUAUCCGUAAGGAGAAGCUCUUGAUCGAAGCCCCGGUAAACGGCGGCCGUAACUAUAACGGUCCUAAGGUAGCGAAAUUCCUUGUCGGGUAAGUUCCGACCUGCACGAAUGGCGUAAUGAUGGCCAGGCUGUCUCCACCCGAGACUCAGUGAAAUUGAACUCGCUGUGAAGAUGCAGUGUACCCGCGGCAAGACGGAAAGACCCCGUGAACCUUUACUAUAGCUUGACACUGAACAUUGAGCCUUGAUGUGUAGGAUAGGUGGGAGGCUUUGAAGCGUGGACGCCAGUCUGCGUGGAGCCAACCUUGAAAUACCACCCUUUAAUGUUUGAUGUUCUAACGUUGGCCCCUUACCGGGGUUGCGGACAGUGUCUGGUGGGUAGUUUGACUGGGGCGGUCUCCUCCCAAAGCGUAACGGAGGAGCACGAAGGUUAGCUAAUCCUGGUCGGACAUCAGGAGGUUAGUGCAAUGGCAUAAGCUAGCUUGACUGCGAGCGUGACGGCGCGAGCAGGUGCGAAAGCAGGUCAUAGUGAUCCGGUGGUUCUGAAUGGAAGGGCCAUCGCUCAACGGAUAAAAGGUACUCCGGGGAUAACAGGCUGAUACCGCCCAAGAGUUCAUAUCGACGGCGGUGUUUGGCACCUCGAUGUCGGCUCAUCACAUCCUGGGGCUGAAGUAGGUCCCAAGGGUAUGGCUGUUCGCCAUUUAAAGUGGUACGCGAGCUGGGUUUAGAACGUCGUGAGACAGUUCGGUCCCUAUCUGCCGUGGGCGCUGGAGAAUUGAGGGGGGCUGCUCCUAGUACGAGAGGACCGGAGUGGACGCAUCACUGGUGUUCGGGUUGUCAUGCCAAUGGCACUGCCCGGUAGCUAAAUGCGGAAGAGAUAAGUGCUGAAAGCAUCUAAGCACGAAACUUGCCCCGAGAUGAGUUCUCCCUGAGACUUUAAGUCUCCUGAAGGAACGUUGAAGACGACGACGUUGAUAGGCCGGGUGUGUAAGCGCAGCGAUGCGUUGAGCUAACCGGUACUAAUGAACCGUGAGGCUUAACCUU
rnacentral:rRNA from 1 species